CCUUGAGGAAAGCCUAUAUCAUGCAAGUCGAGCGGGCCCUUCGGGGUCAGCGGCAUACGGGUGAGUAACGCGUGGGAACGUACCAUUUGCUACGGAAUAACUCAGGGAAACUUGUGCUAAUACCGUAUGAGCCCCCCUUUAAAAUUUCAUGAAUCAUAAAAUGCCCUGGCAUUUUAUGGGGGGGAAAGAUUUAUCGGCAAAUGAUCGGCCCGCGUUGGAUUACCUACUUGGUGGGGUAAAGGCCUACCAAGGAGACUAUCCAUAGCUGGUCUGAGAGGAUGAUCAGCCACACUGGGACUGAGACACGGCCCACACUCCUACGGGAGGCACCAGUGGGGAAUAUUGGACAAUGGGCGCAAGCCUGAUCCACCCAUGCCGCGUGAGUGAUGAAGGCCCUACGGAUGUAAAUCUCUUUCACCGGUGAAGAUAAUGACGGUAACAGGAAAAGAAGUCCCGGCUAACUUCCUGUCAACAGCCUCUUCAAUACGAACGGGGUUAACCAUGUCCGCAUUCACAGGGUGUUUAUCGCAGAUAGGCGGGGUCAUAAGUUUUUGGUGAAAUAUCGGGGCUCAACCCUGGCAUUGCCUUUGAUAGUGUUAGC
rnacentral:rRNA from 1 species